rnacentral:tRNA from 1 species
CGGGGUAUAGUAUAACGGUAGUACGCUAACUUCGGGAGUUAGUGGCCUGGGUUCAACUCCCAGUACCCCGA